GUCAGCACAAGGCCAGCGGGAUCUUUGAAACCAACAGAGCCAGCAAUGAGAUCUUCACUUGGGAUGAGAAUUGCCUCCCCUGGAGCUAGGUCAGCAAAUGCAGUCUGUUUGUCAGAGCUAAGAGAUCCAAAUUUCCAUCCGGUAGUAUUUUCCCUGGACUAAAGAACUACUUUUAAAAUUUCUUGAGUGCAGAUCUGCUGAAGCAUGGAAGACACAAGAAAGAAAUGCAUGGCUUUAGAGUGAAGACGUUUUUACUAGCAAAGAG